AACCCUGUGAGUAGUGCCCUAUAAAUAUCCAACACUGGAAAAAAGGAGCUGAUAUCAGGCACAACCCAAAGUUAGCCCAUAACAUCUUGCUUAGCCACGCCCCCAAGGGUAUUCAGCAGUAAUAAACAUUAAGCCAUAAGUGCAAACUUGACUUAGUUACAAUUAAUAAGGGCCGGUCAACCAUCGUGCCAGCCACCGCGGUUAGACGAAAGGCCCAAGUUGAUAGAAACCGGCGUAAAGGGUGGUUAAUAGCACAAAUACUAAAGCCGAACACCUUCAAAGCCGUGAUACGUUUCCGAAGGCUGGAAGCCCUUCCACGAAAGUGACUUUAAUAGCUAUGACUCCACGAAAGCUAGGACACAAACUGGGAUUAGAUACCCCACUAUGCCUAGCCCUAAACAGAACAAGUAUCUUACUAAUACUUCCGCCAGGGAACAACGAGCUUCAGCUUAAAACCCAAAGGACUUGGCGGUGCUUUAGACCCCCCUAGAGGAGCCUGUUAUAGAACCGAUAAUCCCCGUUCAACCUCACCUCCUCUUGUUAUUUCCCGCCUGUAUACCGCCGUCGUCAGUUUACCCUGUGAAGGCUUAACAGUAAGCAAAAUUGGUAAAACCCAAAACGUCAGGUCGAGGUGCAGCUUAUGAGGAGGGAAGAAAUGGGCUACAUUUUCUGAUCCAGAAAAUACGAAUGUUGUACUGAAAAAACAUCUUGAAGGAGGAUUUAGUAGUAAGGAGAGAGUAGAGCGCUNUCCUGAAAAAGGCUUUGAAGNGNGCACACACCGCCCGUCACUCUCCCCGAAAUAUGGAAUACACAUACAUAAUAACCCAAAGCAUUAAGCAAGGGGAGGCAAGUCGUAACAUGGUAAGUGUACCGGAAGGUGCACUUGGACAAAC
rnacentral:ncRNA from 1 species